rnacentral:tRNA from 1 species
AUUUAAUAUGGCAGAUAAAGUGCAAUAGAUUUAAACUCUAUAUAUAAAGUAAAUACCUAACUUAAACUUUUAUUAAAA